CCAAUCACCCUCAUAAUCUCAAAAUCCCCAGGCCCAAUCUUACAACCCACUAAUCCCCCCUUCUCUUCAACCUUUUCGACUCCAAUCGAUUCGAUUAACUCUUCGUCGUCUUCUUCCGAGCUUUCGGGGCCGAAUUCUUGGUGAAAUGGGAGGGAUGUAGAUAGAGUGUAACGAGGAGAAGGGCCUAUGAAGGAGUGGGAACGGAUGAGGUGUGGCCGAAUACAUCGGCAAAGUCGAAAUCUUGAUCGGUUGUUGAUGUGGAGAUAGUGAGGUUGUUGAGCUGAGUUGAUAAUAGUGAGUGUGUCGUCAUGUUUGAGUUCAAAUUGAGUGUUUCGCCGAGAAAUGAAUCAAGGCGGGGUGGGAGAUUUAGGGUUACAUUUUAUGAAGGCGGAUGAAUGUAG
rnacentral:lncRNA from 1 species